CUCUAGAAAUACUGAACAAACAAAGAGUGCUGCAGAAUUGUGGCUUCAGGCUUACACAGAAAUGGUGCUGGUCCAUUGAGUUCAUGGUAGCAAGGGCCGCUUGUUACCGUAGGCGCUGCUUCGGAAAUAUUUGGUAGCAAAUCUACAUAUUGUAGAGUUGACUCUGGAGGCAACGGAGAUGCCAUUAACUCAUCAAGAGAAAAGAAGUUUCUGCGAACUUCAAAACCGGAUAUCCUAGAGGCCCUUUCUAGAAUUGAUGAAGGCAUUUGCGCUGAUGAGGACUGCUUG